CUCCUUUGCCUCUCGCACGGUAGACAUCUGCUCACGACUGAAAUGCCUUGGAAGAACUUGAUCCCUUUGGGCUAGAAGAGGAGGAGAAGAAAAAAAAGAUAUCACUGGUUCCAUCUUUAAGUAAAACAAGAGAAUUAUUUGAAAUCAGGUGAAGAUUUGGUGAUAUUUGGCAAAGGAAGAGGACUGCCUGGGUGUUAGUCCAAGCGUUCUUCUGCUUUAAGAGUAUUUAUAUCAAGAAACAGAAAAGGCUUUUCUUGGUUUGUAACAUCAUCAGUCACAUCUCAGAAGCUCGUAUGUUCAAAGAACAGACCAGUCUAUACC